CGGCUGCAGUCAAGAAUAUUCCGCAAUGGGCGAAAGCCUGACGGAGCGACGCCGCGUGCCAGAUGAAGCCCUUCGGGGUGUAAAUGGCUUUUCCCAAGGACGAACAUUGACGGUACUUGGGGAAUAAGGGGCCGCCAAACUCGUGCCAGCAGCGGCGGUAAUACGAGUGCCCCGAGCGUUAUCCGGAUUCACUGGGCGUAAAGGGUCCGUAGGCGGCCUGAUACAUCCUCUGUCAAAUCUCAGGGCUCAACCCUGAGGCCGCAGGGGAAAUGGUCAGGCUUGAGGCCGGGAGAGGUAUGCGGAACUGCAGGUGUAGGGGUUAAAUCCGUUCAUAUCUGCAGGAACACCAAAGGCGAAAGCAGCAUACUGGAACGGUUCUGACGCUGAAGGACGAAAGCGUGGGUAGCGAAUGGGAUUAGAUACCCCAGUAGUC
rnacentral:rRNA from 1 species